rnacentral:rRNA from 1 species
UGGGGAAUAUUGGACAAUGGGCGCAAGCCUGAUCCAGCAAUGCCGCGUGGAUGAUGAAGGCCUUAGGGUUGUAAAAUCCUUUCGUUGGGGACGAUAAUGACGGUACCCAAAGAAGAAGCUCCGGCUAACUUCGUGCCAGCAGCCGCGGUAAUACGAAGGGGGCUAGCGUUGUUCGGAUUUACUGGGCGUAAAGCGCGUGUAGGCGGGUCGUUAAGUUGGGGGUGAAAUCCCGAGGCUCAACCUCGGAACUGCCUUCAAAACUGGCGACCUGGAGCAAAGAAGAGGCGAGUGGAAUUGCGAGUGUAGAGGUGAAAUUCGUAGAUAUUCGCAGGAACACCAGUGGCGAAGGCGACUCGCUGGUCUUUUGCUGACGCUGAGACGCGAAAGCGUGGGGAGCAAAC